GAACUUGUUAGUCGUGCAUUUCGCAUAUUUACCAAUUUAUCUCGUUUCUCUGGGUACCUUUACCAUACAAUGCGGUCGUUAUACGACGGGGUUAAUAAUGCUAGAUACCAUCGCGGCAGAUACUUUCGCGCUAACGGAAUUCCUAGUCGUUUUUAGGCAUGCAUGCUUGUUUCGCUCGAUCGACCGAUUCAAUUCUGCGACCGAGUACGUGCGUGCACGUAGCUACUUUUAUCGUUAUCGCAUUCAGCGAAACGUGCACUUUUUAAUAAAAUUUGAUACGUCGACCAAAACGACAAUUUGCACUUUUCUCGAUACAGAAAAACACGCUACCGUAAUCGUUGAAUUAAAGCGAGAGCGAUAAAUAAACAUGUGCGUCUUGUUACCCGCGGUUUUUUCCUUUCCUACGGACUCGGGAUAAUUUUAUUACUUACAAAUAAUAUAAAAUAACAAAUCCCGAGAUUUAUUCAUAAAUACAGAACGACGAUUUUAUCGGAUGGAUAAUUAUUCUUUAUUCGGCGAUAAAUCUUUCGCUUUAUUGACAAAUUUAUUGGAACAACGUCUUAUUUCUCAUUUGAAAUGCGAAUGAACGCAAUUAAUAAGCGUAGUAGAUAAACGAUGCUCGUCUAUGGAUAGUUUAUCAUAAUUUAACAGCAAUACAUAUUCAACAAUGAUAUUUCCAGUAUUCUUUUAAUUAAUAUGUUAGCAAAUUAAACUGUUAAGUCGUUACAAUGUUGUAUCAAUAGACAUCCAUUGCGAUGUUAAACUUUGUAGGUUCGUUCCAACGAAAUUUUCUUCCGAUAAAUCUUUAUUGGAAUAAUGAUUUCGACAAGAAUUUAUUAGAACAACUCUGCAGACUCUGCUUUCCAUUUUGUCCCCGAAAAUCGGAAGAAUUAACAUUACAUAGACGAUUAUCGCGUAGCCGGAAAUUAAGGUCGUAGCAAACCGACAGAACUGUCGAUCGCGAGGCAAGGUUUCAAUAUCAUCCGCCUACCUACUUGGGAGGUAAAUGUACCGAUAACCGAUCGAAAGAAAUUUUUACGAUUUCGAAAUAUGCCGUAAAAUAAUAUCGUGACUCGGUAUCGCAACGAACACGACAAGAUGGUCGAGGUAGGUCAAGGUGUUCCUUCUGUCGCCAGAGAUCGUGCAGUUAAUUUCUGUCGACAUAACGAUCAUUUAGAACGGUAACGGUAACGUGGUAUUAUUUCUUUAGGAAUUCGAAUUAGAAUUAUUCGUAGAGAAAGACGAUCGUUACCGAUAUGUUAGAAGAAACGCGCGAACGAAUGGUCGACGCGUCGCGUGAGUGAAAAAUUGUCGCCCGUAACAAAGAUUCGCAAUGCCUAAGAAUAGGUAUGCACGAGUACGCCGCGUACAAAGUUAGGAAGAUUGCGUUUACCGACCGUUGUUUCGACCGAGCAUGAUUGGCAGACGAUCAUAGUGGUAAUCCGUGGUGAAUAAAGAGAAUGGCGGUAGCGAGGACGGUGGUGGGAGACGUAGGCGACUGGCGGCUGGCGGCUGGCGGCUGGCGGCUGGCGGCGAACAAGGGGAGGCUGAAGGGAAUAGGAAGGGGAAACGUUCUACUCAGUAAGCGAUGAGCAGCCGAAGUUGGCGUAGAGUCGAGUGCACGCCGAACCGGCGACGAUCCCUCGACCGUAACUGUAUCGUCGGACUGGUUGGCUGAAUCGAAGAAACAUAUUUUCCCGGGACUCGAGAUGGCUCCGAUGUAACGUAAAGUGACAAAGCGUUUUCUUCGUCGUCGUUGUUGCCGUCGUUGUUGCUGUCGUUGUUGCCAUCGUCAUUACCGUAACCGCUGUCAGCGUCGAACAGUAUCGCUUCUUCUCUUUCUUCCUCUUCGCCACCGGACAACCUGUGACCAGCGAAAGAAACAAACCCGAGCAUCUUCCACGGCGCGUCUUGGACGAUUCUGCCCCAUUGUUCGGUGCCAUCUUCUUUCGUCUGUUCUUUUUUCCAUUCGUUGUUUCGCUCGAACGAGCGUUUUCGUUCGCUUACGCAAGAAGAAGAAACGAAACUUUCUUGGAUCGAACGAACGCGAGUGUGUGUCGCCUUGUCAAUGCACACGUGAUAUCUGUGCUGUGCUUUCGUAAAUCAAUGCGUCUUUAUACGCGCGGUAAUUGCGUUGCGUGGGUGCGAGCGUGCGAGCGUGCGUGCGUGCGUGCGUGCGUGCGUUUGGCUGUGUGGGGUUGUGCUCGUGCCCGUGCUAUUUCGCGCGCGUCAGCCUCGUGAGUGAAAUCGCCGGCAGGGAGCCCCGGAGUAUUUAUCGACCUGCACGAGGUCGAAACUACGGCGAAGUGCAGAGGUGGUACAAUCGUCGUUUUAGCGUCAAAUCGAGAGGAGAAUACACGCUCGGGACUGGCAGUUCGUAAAAGGACCGAGGGAAGAUACGUCGGAACCGCCUGAGGAGACAGGAAUAUUCGCGGGAUUAGGGAUGUCGUUUGUGCAAAAGUACGAGAAGGAAAUUUAAAGAAGCCGACGCGCGAUAUCGGUGAUCCGCGGUGGGUGCGCGAGUGACCGGUAAGAAAGAAGUUUAACGACGACGACGAACGAGGGGAAUCGGUAGUGGUCGGUGGUGCGAAAAAAAGUGGUCGUUUAUCGAAAGAAAACGAGAAAACGGAGGCGGCGGAGGAGGAAGAGGAGAAGGAGGAGUUUCGAGAGACGCGAGGGUUGUGGAAAUUUGAGAGGAGGGUAGGAACGAGAGUAUUCGUGCAAGUCGAAGAAGAAGAGGAGGGCCGUUGGAGGAGAGAGAAGAGGAAGAGGAGGCGUAAGCGAAGAAAAGGGCGGAUUUCCGGGAUAUAUCGCGAAUAUCGUCGGUGGAGUUUAGCCGCGAGACAGUAAGUGAUGUGUUCGAUGGACGAGGCGCGUCUCGCGGGCGGUGGUCGGGGUAAAACGGACGCGUGUCGCGCGUGGUGCGAUUGCUUGAAAUCGGUGAGAACAGGCGGGCAGUCGGUGAUCAGGCUGGCGGGCGCCGGGGAAACGUUUCAAAGGGCAUGGCGACCACGCCACUAGGCGGUCGCCUCCCUAACGUAAACCGCAAAGGACCAUCUCCGUUCGUCGGUGGUGGUGGUGGCAACAACAGCGUUAAUUACGGUAACGGCAACAGCGGCAACAACGGCGGCAACAUCAACAACAGCGGCAGUAGUAGCCACAACAACAACAAUCACGCUAGCAAAAAUAACAAUCACAACAACAACAACAACAACAACAACAACGUUGGUCAUCGCAACAACAACUACAACAACAACAAGAACCAGAAGAACAAGAACGUCGUAAGCGGUGGUAAGAACGAGAAUUGCGUCGACGGCCACGGGGGGAAAGCCGGUGCGAUCGAGAACGGUGUCGUCGAUCCCGGCAGUAACAGCAGCGGUAGCAACAACAACAACAGCAGCAGCAACGGCAAGAACAACAACGGGAACGGGAACGGGAAACAGAACGACAGAAAAGUUGGUGGUAGCAAGUUUGGAGGAGGAGGAGGUGGCGGUCGUCAGACGUCGAGGAAACAGGAACGAGGUUUACUAGGAAGGGAACAUCGAGAACAUCGACAUCACCACCAUCACCAUCACCAUCAUCACCAUCAUCACCAUCAUCAUCACCAUCAAGGUCGGGACAGGUCCUCGUCGUCGUCGUCGUCGUCGUCGUCAUCGGGUCGGCAGCGCGAUACUAAAGCAAGCACGGUGGCUACAAACACCGAUGAGCUGGAUCCGGCCGCGACGAAUGCGACCAACAACUUUGAGUACGAUGACAACGAAUGGGACAUUGGAAUAGGGGAUUUGAUAAUCGACCUUGAUGCGGACAUUGAGAAGACGAGGGACGAGAAAUUGAGCUCAGGGACAGGCAUGGCUUCUACGCCUGCCUCGGCAGCAUCGGCUUCGAAUACCACGAAUCAUCAUCAUCACCAUCAUCAUCAUCAGCUUCAAAAUUCCGCAAACGGUUUAAGCUCGACGAACUUGUCUUCGUCCGUAACGUCAGCGGGCCCAAACGGUUGCGGACAGUCGUCUAACUCGUCGUUGUCUUUGUCUUCGUCUUCGUCAUCGUCUUCGUCGUCGUCGUCCUCCUCGUCCUCGUCCUCGUCGACGUCCUCCACGUCGUCUUCCUGCUGCCUGAAUUCAUCCGGACGGUCGAACAGCCCCGGUAACGGGAACGGGAACGGGAACGGGAACGGGAACGGGAACGGAAGCGUCGUAAGUAGCGCCGGUGGAAACGGAAACGGUACCGGGAACGCGAACGGUUCCUCGUCGAUCGUUACGGGGACGGGUAACAAACAGAGCAACGCCGUCGUGAGUGGCGUAAACGCCGCGCACGGAAACCCUGGUAAUCCCGGCAAAAUGGCCGUUGAACACUCGGCCACCGUCGACAAAGGCCUGAAAAUGAAGAUCAAGCGAACGAAACCGGGCACCAAGAGCAGCGAGGCGAAACACGAGAUCGUUAAAUCGAACGAAAUGAACGGGACGGUUUCGUCGCAAGAGUCCGGUAACGGGGGCGGUUUAGUAUCCUCGAGCGGUUCCUCUUCGUCCACGGGGGGCUCGAAUUCCGCGUCGUCCGGCUCGGGGUGCGGACAGAACGCACAGAACUCGGAUUGCACCGCGGGAACUGGUGUCAGCGGUGGUGGUGGUGUUGGUGGUGGUGUUGGUGUCGGUGGUGGUGGUAGUAGCGUCGCCGGUGGCGUCGCCGGCGGCGGUUCCGGUGGUUGCGGUACCGGUCCCGGUAGCGGCGGUACCGGUGGCGGCGUCGCCGGUCCCGGACCCGCCGGUACCGUGCCCGGUGGUGUUGGAAGUGGUGGUGGUAGUGGCAGUGGUGCCGGUAGUCAGUCCUCGUCGUCGAACAAAUCGAAACCGAGUCAUUCGACGGGUUCCGCCGGCGGGACCGGAAACGCGACCUCCUCGACCGCGGGAUCGAAGAGAGGAUCGAGCGGACAUCGUCGGGACAAGGCGCGGGACAAGCACGAGAAGCCGCAGAGCAACCACGCGUCGCAACAGCAAAACAAGCCAGAGAUGAACGGGGGGACCGUGAGGCCUAGCGGCGCCGUGUCCGGCGCUGCCAGCGGACAGAGUCAAACGUCGAGCGGACCGGGACCGGGGCCGGGGCCGGGGCCAGGGCCAGGGCCAGGGCCAGGUUUCGGUGCCGGGAGCGGAACAGGGGCGGCCGCGCAAUCUCAGGGACCGACGGCGGCCGCGACCGCCCCCCAACAGACCCAGGGACCACCGCCUAGCUCGCGGACAGGCUUCUCCGUUUCUCAAGGGCCUAACCCGCCGUCUAGUUCCGCCGCGGCACCCUGCCCGCCCCCCAGUCCGGCCAGCGCGACCGCCGUCGGACCGGCCGCCAAGCCCGAGCAAACCAAACUAGCCGCGGUACCCGGUAACGGACCUGCGAUCACCACGACUACCGACGACGCUAUGGAUACCGCGGCCAGUCCUCCGCCUCCCAAGAAACUGAAGACUUCCGCUUCCGAACCAAAGGACAUGUCCGACGUGUGCGUUGGGACCAGCGUGGGGACCAUUACCGAGCCAGAAUGUUUAGGACCCUGCGAACCCGGUACGUCGGUGACUCUCGAGGGCAUCGUUUGGCACGAAACCGAAGGAGGUGUGCUGGUGGUGAACGUAACGUGGCGAGGUAAAACGUACGUCGGUACGUUGCUGGAUUGCACUCGUCAUGACUGGGCGCCGCCGAGGUUCUGCGACUCGCCGACGAGCGAUCUGGACGCCCGGACGCCAAAGGGGCGCGGUAAACGCGGAAGAGCAGCGGCGAACACGACGCCGGGCAACGAUCUGAGCAACUUCACGGAAACGAGGAGCUCGGUGCACAGCAAGCUGCGAAACGGCGGCGUGAAAGGGCGCCGCGGCGCCCAGGGAUCGCCGGCGGCGAGCCCGAGUCCGGCGGCGUUCGUCCCGCCGCGGCCGGAUCCAGCGGCGAAGCGGAAAUCCCGCGGCCCGGAGGAGGAGGAGAAGAACAAGAGGCGCGCCCCGCCGCCCACGCCACCGAGCGGAUCGCCGCCGGCGAGCCCGGUGUUUCUCGAGUGCCCGGAACCGAAUUGCAACAAAAAGUACAAACACAUCAAUGGACUCAAGUAUCAUCAGAGCCACGCGCACGGCUCGGCGGACGACGACGACACGAAAGAGGGGAUCACGAGCAUGUCCGAGAACGACGAGAGCAACAUCGAGGCUCCGAGUCCGGCUACGCCCGUCAAGUCGCCCGCCGACAAGCCCGAAGGGACACCGCUCAGGCCGAGCAGCCCGCAGGCGACCAGUUUACCGCCCGAGACGCCUCCGCCGCCCUCGAGGGUAGCCUCUCCGGGAAUAGAGACGACCGCGACCGUUCUCGCCACCGACAAGAGUAUCGUGAAGCCCGGUGUGCUCAGAUUCGGGCAGGACGACCUGCCCGCCCCGCCGUCGACGAUACCCACCGCCGCGAAGCAACAAUCCGUGCAACAGCAGCAGCAGCAGCAGCAGCAACAACAACAACAGCAACAGCAGCAGCAGCAGCAACAACAACAACAACAGCAACAGAACCAAUCGUCGUUGGGUUGUUCAAACUCGCCGCAAUGCCCGAGUCCCCGACCCAGCCAGUCGCCCAGGCCUGUCCCGUCGCCGCAUCCGAGCGCGGGCAUCCCACAGCCGUUGAAUAUCCCUCAACCGCCGCAACCAUCCCAGAUGUCGCAGCACCAGCAACAGAAUCCCCUUCUGCAGCAGAGCCAGCAGGGUUUGCAACCCGGUCAGCCGUCUGCCUCGCAGCAGCUCCAGUCGAGCCAACAGUCGCAACAGCUGCAGUCGGCCGUUCAGCAACAACAGCAACAGCUGUCGUCCGCGCACCAGUUAUCCGUGCAGCACUCGCUAUCGGCGCAGCUCAGUCAACUGACGCAGGCCCACGUGGUGCAACCGACGGGAUUGCAGCAGCAACAGCAACCGACCGGCCUGCAGAGCAUCGCCAGCCAACAUCCGGGUCUCCAAAGUCUGGCCGGUCAGGUGUCGCAACAGACCGCGGGUCUGCAGGCAGCGCCGCCCCCGCAGCCCGGGCAUCCCAGUCAAGGCGUGCAGUCGCAUUUGCAGCCGUACCAGAGCGUCUCGUUGCACGCCAAGAUGCCGCAGUUCAAGGUGAAACCGACCGCCGCUCUGAUGCCAGAGCAGGACAAGAGCAAAGAUCCACGGGCGUCGAAGCCUCAGGGCUACAAGAAGAAGUCGAGGAAAUCGCCAGGCGGCAGUCCUCACCCGUCGCCGUUGGAGGCGCCGAUCGUCGACUCGGCCAGGGACGACGUCCAGAGUCCCGCCUAUUCGGACAUCUCCGACGACGCGGCGCCCGUCCUCGAGGCGGAGCCCACCGACAAGUCGAAACAGAUCCAAGAGAAAGACGGGAAAGCUACAGCUGCUGCCCAUCUGCCGGCUCACUUCAGCAUGUACCCUUACUACGGGCAACCGCCUUAUCUGGUGCCUAGCGUUCAGGAGAGCAAGCCCAUCGAUCAGAAGCCCACCGAUCUCGUCCCGAAGCAGGAGAUGAAGCCGCUGAACAUACCGCAGAUGCCGACGAUGGCUAGUCUGCAGAGCGUCGUGACGGAGAAAGAGAAGAAGGAGAUGAGUCAGUCGGUGCCGCAGCCGCAACAGCAGUCGCACUAUUACGGCGGUUACGGCAGCUACAUGCCACCCGGGUAUCCGUACCAGCCUCCGCAGUCGGUAUCCCAGCAGCAGCAGCAACAGCAGCAACACCAACAGCAGCAGCAGCAGCAGCAGCAACAACAACAACAACAGAACCAACAAGCGCAAGAGCAAGAGAUGCACGAACAGAAGGCGAAGAUCAAGCAGGAGCCGCAGUCGCAGCAGGCCAGUUUGAAGGACAAGCAGCACGAGAAUCAUCAGAUACUGAAGGAGAGCAUCGAGAUGAAGAGCCAGAUGAGCCCGUAUCACGUUUACCACGGUUCUCAGAGUCAAAGGGCGGCGCCGCCGCCGCCACCGCCCGGUCCUAUGCAAGACGACCGAAGGUAUUACCUGUACCCGGGCGACCAGAGGCGAAAGGAGGAAUCGAACAAGCAGAGUCAGCAGGCGAAGCCGCCACCGCCGAGUCCGAAGCAUCAGCCGAAGCAAGAGAAGCCGCAAGACCUGGGCAAGAACGAGGACUCGAAGAGCAAGCAAGAGGGCGUCAAGCCGACGAUGGAGACGCAGGGCCCGCCGCCCCCCACCUCGCAAUACGCGUACAUUCAUCCGAGCUACAUGCAGCCGCAGCACUACGGCGCGCUGCCCUUCGACCCUAGUCAUCCCGUCUACCGAGGGCUGAAUCCGAUGCUGGUCCCUGGACCGUACUCCGGUAACCCGUACCUCCACCAAUUGCCGAGGUAUCACGCGCCGGAGGAUCUGAGCAGACCGCCAGCCGGCAAAGCGUUGGAUCUGCUCCAGCACCAUGCCAAUCAGUAUUAUUCGGCGCACAAGAUACACGAGCUGCAAGAGCGCGCGCUCAAGUCCCCGACCCCGAAGACCUCCGCGGCCUCGGCGAGUCCCUCGUCCGCGGGCCCGACGCCCUCGCGACCGCCGAGCGGGCCCCCAAGCUCGGUGGGGGGAGCCGGAGGGGGCGCGGGACCGGGGCCACCUCAAGCACAGGGUCAACAGUCCGCCAGCAAGCAGCAGAAUCAACCGGGAGGCCAACAGCCGCAGCAGCAGUCGCCCGUCGACGGUGGGACCGGAACCUUGCCAAAAGACAAUAGAUCGCCGCCUCCGCAGCGACACGUGCACACGCAUCAUCACACGCACGUGGGCCUAGGCUAUCCCCUUCUCCCUGGACAAUACCCCGCCCCUUACGGAGGUAAGCCUCUCGUCAGACCCUGACAGUAAGGCUCCCGACACGACCCGAUCGCGUCGCGGACCCAACUCGAGACUUUCAUACUUUGACUCACGGUCGAAAGAAACCACCGAUCGCUGCCGCUCCCGCCCCCUACCCCUACCCCUCCCCCUCCCCCUCCCCCUCCCCUCCGCCCUUGUCACCCCAACGAUCCUGCUGCUGAUAAAGCGCGUGACCGUCGAGAGACGCGCGCAAAUACUCUGCAGGGAUUUUCUCGUCGUUCGACAAAACCACCCCCUCCUCCCGGGAUUAGGCUGCCCCGGACGACCCCGCACGAUUUACGGAUAGUAAACUCGUCCGAUCCGUCUAUGUAAGCCUGAUCGUGUUAAUCGUACGUACACCAUAUUGGUGCAUGCGGAAUGCGAAGAAGGUGUUGUUGCGUCCCCGAGUGGUGACGAACGGGAAGAAGAAAGUUUCUUCCCUCUAUCGAGAGCGCGUCGAGUCCGUUCGAUUCGUUGCGAGGACGCACCGCGCGUCUCCUUUCCUAUUCCCGUUUAUUUCUUGGCACUUUUUGUAACGAGAUUAAACGCCGAUCAUAUUCGACGCGUCGACGCGAUACGGGACGUCUCGAACGAGCACCGAUUAUCGACGAUAAACGAUAUACUAUAUGCGUGUAAAUAGUUUUUAUCGAGCGUACAGUUUGACGACAAACGGUGAAGGACAACGGCGAACCGCGAAACCUGCGUUUAGCUGCGCCAGCGAAUUGCGAGCUGCAUUUUUUAAUGAAUACACGCGCGAUAGGUUCGUACAAUAUAUUAUAUUAUGUAAAUACACGUUUAGACGAUUCGUUACUUAAACUACGGACUGAAUAUUUUCGAAAAUAUCGGAGCGUGUGUACGACAGUUAAGAAUAGGUACGUAAGUGUCGCGUCCUGACUGCCACGAGGCUCGUAGGAUGCAUAGUUAGACGUAUAGUUCAGACUGUGAUAAUUGCUAAUCGUCGUGCUCGUUUUCCGGCACGAGAAAAAAAACAAACGACUCGACGAGAACCCGUGUUCGACUCGGAAGAAAUUUCCGCGCGUCGUUUCGGGCGUUUCGUCCGCAACUGGAUGUCGGAGGAGUUCCCGAUCGAAAUUAUAUCUCUGUUCGACGACAACCGCCGCCGACGACGACGAUCCAGACACGAACGAUCGAUCGAUCGAGUUCGCGAACCACGUCGGAUAACAGAGAGAAAGAGAAAGAGAGAAAAAGAGAAAAAGAGAAAAAGAGAGCACACCUUUUUUCAAGUUCGAAACGGAGGACGAGCCUUCGUCUCGUAGUUCUUCGGUAGUCUUCCACGAAGGUUUCUUUCGUUCGAGAAAAGACUUUGCGUCGCACCCGGUAACCAAACGAAACGCCGCACAGCUUUUCCUCCGUUUCCGUAUUUCCUCAAAGUUUCGUCACGCCCGGUCUUGGUAAACGCGCCUUCUUCUUUCGCCCUUCGACGUGAUGCGACAAGAUGAUCCCCCGUGCACGAAACAACCCAACACGUAGUUGUCACUGCCAGGAUGUCCGCGGAAACUGGAUCCGAUCGCGCGUUACCCACGAAACUUCUCCGUGUCUCUCCUCUUUACACGAUCGUAGACUCUUUUUUUUUUUUUUAUUCUUUUACGACGUAGACGUAUCGCCGCCACCGCGAAGAAAUAUUUUUUAGCACGCGUUCGCGUAGUUUUAUUCCGCGCGAUCGGUAUUCCUUAUCGACGCACGAUCGUUUCCUUUCUCCGUCGUUCCUUCCUCGCGCACUGCGCGUCUUUGCCCGCGGGCAAACCUUCGGGCGCGGAUCGUCGCGCGACAUUUGUAGCGUUUCCUUAAGCCGUUCGAACGAACGACCGUGCUUUUGUUUUUUCCAUCGUCGGCGAAACAUUGUUCGACGCUCGCACGUUUCGCGUCGAUCCGUUCGGAUCCACGGGCAAACCCGCCGGCUUAUGCCUCCGCCUCUACGCUUGUACGCUUCUCGGCUGCCGUUCUCCCAUCCCUGUCGCUUCCACUCGCUUUAACUCUCGUUCCCACGCGAUACUUGGGCUGGAGUGGCGCGGAAUCGUCGACAACGUGCUGUUCCGUUCGGAGGAUUUCGCGUCUCUCGAGGACCGCCGUUAUGACCAGAGAUGGGCAAACUCUAGCGGCAAUGCUGGCGAGUCAGCAGGCCGCCGCGGUAGCCGCAUCGGUGAUCUCGCCAUUCCCGCCCAAGUGACCCGCGGCCCCCGGUCCCGUACUAGCUGCCGGAACGACCGGACCCACCUCCGCACAAACUCACCACACGCCUCAUCAUCCGCCAUCGGUCAGCGCCGCGACCGCUGCGGGACAUCCGCACUCUGCCACCGCUGGCAGGCAAUCCUAGGAUGGCAGCAAGCAUAUGCCAACUAAUUCGAGCCUGCUACCUCUUCGUUAACGCACCAUCGAUUGCUCGACGGCCAUCGUCCAGCCAUCAUCUGCCAACCACGGCCCGCCAGCCACGGCCCGCCAGCCACGGCCCGCCAGCCUACGCGCCUCUUCUACCAUCGAGAUAUACGUAUAUUCCUUCAUCUCGCGAGCAGGACCGAGAGGGCACAGCGACGCGUUCGAAUCGACGAACGUUCAUCGGCUCUCGGGAAACGCUCGACGCUACUCUUUUGACAAAAAAAAAAAAAAUUAAUCGAUCGCGUUUAGAGUAAUCGUUGCGCGCGAUACAGAGUGGGACAGAUUUCGGAAGGAUCGAACAUUGUAAACUCUGCGUCGGGGGACGAUCGUUCCGCGUCGGAAACGCAGAAGGUGCCCGGGAAACGAGAGUGAAAAGACACCGUCGAUCGUUUCCACGGUAAAAAAAAAAAACGGAAAAAAAGAGUAGCGAUUGUAGACCGUAAGCGACGACCACGACCCGGAAACGGAGAACCAAGACGCGUGCGUCGAUUCGUUCGCGCGAAUGCGAUUUGUUGCACGAAUUUAGGACGUAUGCUAGCGACUUUCGAUGUACAUAUACAUAUAUCCGGGAGAGCACGGAUCGUUCUUCCGCAAAGUGGACUGGGUUCGGACGCCCGGAAAGUCGCUAGAGGCGAUCUCGUUUUCGGACCGACUGCCCCCCCCCCCCCCCCCCUCCCCCCUUCCCCCCGCGCGAGAAAAGAGGAUUUCGAAGUAAAAUCGUACCGCCUAGGAAGCACCGAAGAUCUUUGCCCGCGACUACUUCCCCGAAGCAACGUUUUUAUCGCACGUAGAAACUUAGGAGAGCGCGCGUGGGAAUGGGAAACGACGCGUGUGCGUGUGUUUCGCUCGUAUGCGACGAAUGUUCGAACGACGGACGUUUUGCGCAUAACGGUGAAAUUAUAGAUCGUUGUAUUUUAUUGUAAAAAAAAAAACCGAAGAAUUGCGACGAGCACCGCAGACUCGACAUUUUUUUGUAGAGAAAUUGUGCGAACACACGGGACGGACGACACGAUUUGAUGCAUGUGUCAGUGACGAUUAUCAAAGAAAAAAGGAUUUAAAAAAAAUGGAAAAAAAAGAAAACAGAAAAACGAAAAAAAGAGAAGCGAAAGCGAAACGGGAGUGUGAGUAAGGAAGAGAGAGAGAGAGAGAGAGAGAGAGAGAGAGAGAGAGAGAGAGAUAAUGCAAAGAUACUUGUCUCGCAGAACGGUGUAAGCGAGAGAAGAAAUCAGGAUUCUAAAUAACGAUUAACGCGGCGGUAGAUGAUUGUACAUUGAAUACGCUAGAAUGCUGUUUGUUUACUAAAAAUAACGGUAGUUAGUGGUGUGUGAAUAUAAAGAGAGAGUAUGUGAGAGAGACGGAGACGGAGAAAGAGAGUAAUAACGAACGGGAGAAAGCGUGAGAGAGAGAGAUACGAGCGGAAAGACAAAACGGAUAAGACUAUUUAACGAGAAAAGGAAGGAAAAAAAAUGCUAUUAGGUAUAUACUAAUGCCGCCGUGGUACACGCGCAUAGUAUCCUGACAACUACCUAACGUUAGUUCAGUAACGAUUAUUAUUAUUGUAUCUUUUAUUACGAUUAUUCAUUAACAAUUAUCGGUUACAUUAUUUUAUUAUUGUAUCGAUGAGAGAUGGAAGCGUGGUACGAACGAUCGGUGAAACGCGCGUUGCCAAGAAUCCGAGAAAUAGUUUUAUCGUGCCGUGCAUAGUGUCGCAGAAUGCCAAAUAAAACAAAAAGAAAAACAAAAAGAAAAAAAAACAAAGAGCAAGGCGUUGGUUGUUUUAAUUCGAGUAACAAUGGCGAUUCGUUUUUUGACCGAGAAAUGCAGAGAAACGCGGGAUAUUGUCGUCUCAGUUUUAAUGAGACGUUUCGAAAGAGAAACGGGCAGGCUUUAAAAGUAAAAUGCUGGUGCUGUGCUGUGAUUUUUAUAAAAAAACAUACGAGACGCGAAAAGAGAGCAAAAGAAGACGGACGAUCUUGACGAAUUUUUGUGAAAAUAUGCAGAUAGCCUAAGUACCUGGACCUGCCCUGCGCUCUCCGCAAACGUAAAACUCGUGUAGAAACAAUGAACGGAGAAAAACGGAUAAAUCGAGAAAAAAUAUAAUGGGAAGA